GCGCUUUUAGGCAUUAUCAGGUGUGUUCGAAGUGUGCCCCGACGCAGAAGGUUGCAGGUUCGAAUCCUGCCGAGCGCACCA
rnacentral:tRNA from 1 species